CCGUGAAAUGGGGCAGUGUGGCUUUAAGAUGCACACGGUGUGUGUUCAUUGAAGAAAAAAAAGAAAGAAAGAAACCCAGAUGGAGGGAAAGGGGGAGGAGCGGGGGGAGGGAGAGGCGGAGCUCUCGUGUCCACGUGACCCAGGGCCGGGACAGCGCGCGCGCUCGAGAAGCUAAAGCGCCGGUGCCAGUUCCGAUGCGCCCUCCCGCGCGCGCGUGCCCGAGCGCCGAGACUUCACGCCCCCGCGCGGCCCAGGUCGACCAGGUCUUGCCCCUUGGAUCCCGGGCCUGCAAAACGCGUGCGGUACCCCAGCAGGGGCAGGGCAUCCUGCAGCACAGAGACAAAGACGACAGAAAUGUGUUGGAGGGGUUCGACGGACUCAGAGGAGGACCCGAGCACCCGGUCAGCGCGGAAAUUCAAAAUACAAACCUCCCAGAGAGCA